AUAGUAAGUUGGCUGGAUAUCAUGUUUAGUAUUUGUUUGUGUGCUCAUUUUCAAGCUCAACCUAAGAGUCAUACUUAUUGGCCAUAAAGAGAAUUCUUAGAUAUGCAAAGGAAUCGUUAAACUUGGUGCUAUUCAUAAUAAUAGUAGUCUACUUCUAUAUAUAUAUAUAUAUAUAUAUAGUAGCUCUACUUAUAUAUUCAUGAGUACAAAAGACUCUACACUCAUAAGAGUACAAUACCCUACUUAUAUAUAUAAUUGAGCUCCUAUGCUUUUAAAAGUACUAAGUCAUUGGUACAUAUGUAAGUUUUCGGUCCUUAGAUUAAGAAAUGUGUGGUUAUGAUGAUAGCGGUUCUCUAGGAUUGAGUAGGGGUUGAUUGACUAGUAUGAUCUAACAGCUGAAAAUGGUCAAAGAGGUAGAUAUCCUUUGAGAAGAACUGAAGCUUCAUCCUCCUAAGUUGUUUUAGAUGAUACUAAUUCUGAAUCAGUGAUCGGAACUGUUAAAAUUGAUUUAAAGUAUUUAAAACGUCUAGCAACUAAAUUUCAUAAAUUUUGCAAAUCGUUAUCAAGUCCAUCGAAGAAUCGAAAAAUAAACGGCUAAAAAGAAUAAUCUUGUAAAAAUAGAUGUUAAACUUUCUCAAUUUAUAAUUAGAGUUCAACCAUCAUCUAAAUAGUAUAAAGAAUUUUCUAUUAAAAAUUCAAGCGGUUUAGAUUGCUCUAUACCGUUAAAUAAGGAAACGGCUCAUAUAGGCUAUCAAAAAUUAUGAAUUUUGUGAUCUUUUGAUAAUUACAUAAAUAAUAUUUAAAAUUUUUGAA
rnacentral:lncRNA from 1 species